GGAGAGAUACCCAAGUGGCUGAAGGGGCGGGUUUGCUAAACCUGUAGUCUGGCGCAAGCUGGAGCGAGGGUUCGAAUCCCUCUCUCUCCG
rnacentral:tRNA from 1 species